rnacentral:misc_RNA from 1 species
GAUGAAGAACGUAGCGAAAUGCGAUAAGUAAUGUGAAUUGCAGAAUUCAGUGAAUCAUCGAAUCUUUGAACGCACAUUGCGCCCCUUUGUAUUCCGAGGGGCAUGCCUGUUCGAGCGUCAUUAUAACCCCUCAAGCUCAGCUUGGUGUUGGGGCCUGCUGCACUGGCAGCCCUUAAAAUCAGUGGCGGCGCCAUCUGGCUCUAAGCGUAGUAAUUCUUCUCGCUAUGGAGUCCUGGUGGAUGCUUGCCAUCAACCCCCAAUUUUUCUAUGGUUGACCUCGGAUCAGGUAGGGAUACCCGCUGAACUUAAGCAUAUCAAUAAGCGGAGGA